UUCGUGAAUUUUAGCAUAAUGU
rnacentral:miRNA from 1 species